UCUGGUCAUUUUUCUGGCCAAUUGGGGUCAUGUGCCCCUCACAUGCCUCCUUGAAAGGGCAAAGCAGUCUUCCCACAUUCAUCUUCUUCCUCUCACAGAAAAAGAAAAAAAAAUUAAACUAAGGGAAACGUUGGCUCCUAAUUGAGCUCACGACAGACCAAUGUUCCCCCAUCUCUCUCUCGACGGUGACGGCAAGGCUCAAUCUCAAAUUGAGCUCACGACUAAACCCUUGUGGGGCUUGAGAGUCCACGACUGUGCGGUCUAAGCAAAGCUGGUGCAAGGCCGUCCUCGUUGGCACCGGCGUCACCGUCCUCACCCUCCAACUCAGUAAACCGCGGACCCCUUCCUCCUCCUCUCUGCCCUCCACUGACUCCAGGCCUCCCACCCCAUCCUCCGUUCGAAGCUCCCGGACCCCUCUCUCCUCCUCUCCGCCCUCCACCGACAGUAGACCUCCCACCACAUCCUCCGUUCAAAGCACCACUUCGACGGACCCCUCCCUCCUCCAGACAAGGACACUGCCGGACAAGAACGGGGAGUCUUCCCUGCAGCUCUCCCAUCGUUGUGCUUCCUGAUGUCUUCGUCAAGCGGAAGUAUACUCUGACGAAGAUGAUAUUGGAAGACCAUUUUGCCCAUUCAAAGAGGCAUGUGAGGGGCACAUGACCUGAAUUGGCUGGAAAAAUGACCAGAAUUUCACUGAGUGGACACUCUGCAUAUUUUUUAAUGAGCUUGGGGGUAAAGCGUAAAAAUUUAAAGAUCAAGGAGUAGAGCUAACUUGCCCCUUAAGGUCAGGGGACAAACUGUUUUUUUCUCUUAAAUAUAAUUGUCAGCUAUCCUUACCAGGAAAAAUAUACAUUAUCAACAUUUUCAUUUUGUCAA